rnacentral:rRNA from 1 species
UGCCAGCAGCCGCGGUAAUACGUAGGGAGCGAGCGUUGUCCGGAAUUACUGGGCGUAAAGGGCGCGUAGGCGGGAUCUUAAGUUAGGUGUGAAAACUCCGGGCUCAACCUGGAGACUGCACUUAAAACUGGGAUUCUUGAGGGCAGGAGAGGAAAGUGGAAUUCCUAGUGUAGCGGUGAAAUGCGUAGAUAUUAGGAGGAACACCAGUGGCGAAGGCGACUUUCUGGACUGUACCUGACGCUGAGGCGCGAAAGCGUGGGGAGCAAACGGGAUUAGAUACCCCGGUAGUCCACGCCGUAAACGAUGGGUACUAGGUGUAGGAGGUAUCGACCCCUUCUGUGCCGCAGUUAACGCAAUAAGUACCCCGCCUGGGGAGUACGGCCGCAAGGUUGAAACUUAAAGGAAUUGGCGGGGGAC